AUACGGAGGAUGCAAGCGUUAUCCGGAUUUAUUGGGUUUAAAGGGUGCGUAGGCGGUUUGCUAGGCGGGAGGUGAAAUGCCGGCGCUCAACGUCGGUAGUGCCUCCCGAACUGGGGGACUGGAAUGACUCUGCCGUGGGAGGAAUGUGUAGUGUAGCGGUGAAAUGCUUAGAGAUUACACAGAACACCGAUUGCGAAGGCAUCUCACGAAGGGUUGAUUGACGCUGAGGCACGAAAGCGUGGGGAUCAAACAGGAUUAGAUACCCUGGUAGUCCACGCAGUAAAUGAUGAUGGCUAACCGCUGGUUUAUUCGGAUCAGUGGCCAAGCGAAAGCGAUAAGCCAUCCACCUGGGGAGUACGACCGCAAGGUUGAAACUCAAAUGAAUUGACGGGG
rnacentral:rRNA from 1 species